AUGGUUGAGGAACCGGAUGGAAGAGAAUGGAGACUCUCUGGGGUGUACAGGGAGCCUAGCUGUGAUAACAAGGAGCGUACGUACCAACUAAUACAUGACUUGCAUGCUCAGUCUAGUCUUCCGUGGGUGGCGAUAGGAGAUUUUAAUGAGAUUCUACUCUCGUCGGAAAAGGAGGGCGGAGCCCCGCGUCAUCAGUCGCGACUACAAGCCUUCCAAGACGCAUUGGCAGAUUGUUCCUUAGAGGACAUUGGGUUUCACGGUGACAAAUUCACUUGGUUCCGUGGCGGCUUGAAAGAGCGUCUUGAUCGAGCAGUUUCAAACGGCGACUGGAUGGAGAUGCACCCGUUAUUUGGACUUUGCAACCUGGAGAUGGGGCAGUCGGACCACCGACCUAUAUGCCUAGAUACUGAAUACCUGGCAGGGGUUGCAUCGCCCAGGAUUAGAACAGCUCGUAAAGAGAUGGUGGAGGAAGUGGUGAAAACAGCAUGGCAAAAAGCUGUAGUACAAGGUCUCUGUCCGUCAGCACAAGAGAAGCUUGAGGAGGUGCACAAGGAGUUGCAUGCCUGGGACCGGAAGGUGUUGAAAGGGCCCCGUACUCGCCUACGGACGGCCCAGAAAGAAUUGGAUAAGUUAAUGCGGUCUACGUAUACAGCUGAAACAAGAAUAAAACAAAAAGACCUCACACUCUUGAUUGAAAAUCUGUUGGAACAGGAGGAGAUCUAUUGGGUGCAACGAGGACAUGUCAAUUGGCUACGUCGGGGUGACUAG
rnacentral:rRNA from 1 species